AAAUGAUGAAACUCCGGUGAGAGCUCAUCGAAGAAGAUGACCGUAGUAUUUCUCAGGUGGUCUGAGUUUGGACAAGAUACAUUGGGAUUUUGAAAUGUUUUGAUUGAUUAAAUUCAAAUUGGAUCUUGUGUACCUAUUGUAGCAUGUUCCAUCAUGCUUCUCAUCAUUUGGAGUGUUGAAUCUGCCACGUCAAUUAAUGAGGUGUGAUCCAACGCUCCUGGUUUUUU
rnacentral:lncRNA from 1 species